GUGCCGUGAGGUGUUGGCUUAAGUGCCACAACGAGCGCAACCAUUGCUGAUAGUUGCCACCAGGGGCCGCAAGGCCCGCUGAGCACUCUAUCGGGACUGCCAGCGACGAGCUGGAGGAAGGUGGUGAUGACGUCAAGUCCGUACGGCCCUUAUGCCUGGGGCGACACACGUGUUACAAUGGCGUCGACAAUGCGUUGCUAACCCGCGAGGGCAUGCUAAUCGCACAAACGACGCCCCAGUUCGGAUCGCAGGCUGCAACUCGCCUGCGUGAAGCCGGAAUCGCUAGUAACGGCGGAUCAGCUACGCCGCCGUGAAUACGUUCCCUGGCCU
rnacentral:rRNA from 1 species